CUUGCGUGCUUGUCUGUGGAAAUAUGAAUGGAUGGGGGGAUGUGUUUUGUUUGAGAGAGAGCGAGAGAGAGAGGGGGAUGUAGAGAGACACUGGAAAGGCUGCACACCUCCGAGCGAGAGAGCGGGUUUAUCAGAUUGAGCUUUCUCUCAACAUCUCAAAGCACAGAAUAAAUCAUGGAUCAGAAGUCCACCUCUCCUCAGAGACAGCCGGUGAAGUGCAGGUCAAAGUCCACAGAGGAAGUCCAGCAAGCUAAAAAGGCCUUUCACAUACCCCAGAAAUCACUGCCUGGAGGGUCCGAGCUUGAGAACGUCAAGGCGAG